GCCCCAGUGGCCUAAUGGAUAAGGCACUGGCCUCCUAAGCCAGGGAUUGUGGGUUAGAGUCCCGUCUGGGGUG
rnacentral:tRNA from 1 species